AGUGGUGAUAGUAGUGCUGUUAGUAGUAGUAGUGUUAGUAGUACUAGUGGUGGUGUUAGUAGUAGUAGUAGAGGUAGCAGUAGUAGUGGUGAUAGUAGUAGUAGUAGUAGUAGUAGUAGUAGUGGUGGUGUUAGUAGUAGUAGUAGAGGUAGCAGUAGUGGUGAUAGUAGUAGUAGUAGUAGUAGUGGUGGUGGUGUUAGUAGUAGUAGUAGUAGUAGAGGUAGCAGUAGUGGUGAUAGUAGUAGUAGUAGUAGUAGUAGUAGUAGUAGUAGUAGUGGUGGUGUUAGUAGUAGUAGUAGUAGUAGGGUAGCAGUAGUGGUGAUAGUAGUAGGAGUAGUGGUUGGUGGUAGUAGUAGUAGUAGUGGUGGUGUUAGUAGUAGUAGUAGUAGUAGUAGUAGUAGAGGUAGCAGUAGUGGUGAUAGUAGUAGUAGAGGUAGCCAUAGUGGUGGUAGUGGUGGUAGUAGUAAAGGUGUUAGUAGUCGUGGUAGUAUGAGUCGUAUAAAUACUGAAUCAUUAUUACUAAAUAAAUAAAUAUGAGGAAAAAGCCCUCACGUGGGUCAAGCUCCAAAAAGUUCAUGAAGGC
ensembl:lncRNA